rnacentral:rRNA from 1 species
UAAGGAAUAUUGGUCAAUGGGCGAGAGCCUGAACCAGCCAUGCCGCGUGCAGGAAGACGGCCUUAUGGGUUGUAAACUGCUUUUGUCGGGGAAUAAACCUAUCUACGCGUAGAUAGCUGAAGGUACCCGAAGAAUAAGCAUCGGCUAACUCCGUGCCAGCAGCCGCGGUAAUACGGAGGAUGCAAGCGUUAUCCGGAUUCAUUGGGUUUAAAGGGUGCGCAGGCGGAUUGGUAAGUCAGUGGUGAAAUUCUAGUGCUUAACAUUAGAGCUGCCAUUGAUACUGUCAGUCUAGAGUAUAGUUGGAGUGGGCGGAAUGUGUCAUGUAGCGGUGAAAUGCUUAGAUAUGACACAGAACACCGAUCGCGAAGGCAGCUCACUAAGCUAAAACUGACGCUCAUGC